rnacentral:rRNA from 1 species
GAUGAACGCUAGCGGCAGGCCUAACACAUGCAAGUCGAGGGGCAGCACGGUGUAGCAAUACACUGGUGGCGACCGGCGCACGGGUGAGUAACACGUAUCCAACCUGCCGAUAACUCGGGGAUAACCCUUCGAAAGAAGGCCUAAUACCCGAUGGCAUAUCCCUUCCGCCUGGUGGGGAUAUUAAAGAACUUCGGUUAUCGAUGGGGAUGCGUUCCAUUAGCUUGUUGGCGGGGUAACGGCCCACCAAGGCAUCGAUGGAUAGGGGUUCUGAGAGGAAGGUCCCCCACAUUGGAACUGAGACACGGUCCAAACUCCUACGGGAGGCAGCAGUGAGGAAUAUUGGUCAAUGGACGAGAGUCUGAACCAGCCAAGUAGCGUGAAGGAUGAAGGUCCUAUGGAUUGUAAACUUCUUUAUACGGGAAUAAAGUGCAGUAUGCAUACUGUUUUGUAUGUACCGUAUGAAUAAGGAUCGGCUAACUCCGUGCCAGCCGCCGCUGUA